CAGAGCGUCUGCUAAACGACGUAAAUGUACAAUUAUAAAUAUGAAUUAGGGUAUUUGAAAAAAAAUCCCCAUAGGCCACGUGGUAGUUGGAAACUCCAUCGACACUACAACUUUUUAAUGACAUUUUAGCAAAUGACAUAUUUACAAAAAAGUUGAAAUCGAUGGAAAUGGUGCAUGGGAAACACAUGACGAUUGGUGGAUGAUUAAAGUUGACUUUACAUACAAAUAAUUACAUUUUAAUAGGCAAUAGUUGAAACUAAGUUACAUCAAAUACAAUGUAAAAAUGUGAAAACAAAAGGUACAAAAUGUUUUUCAAACGCUAUAUUUAAUCGAAUCACAAAGCAUGGGUGUCUAUAGUGAGCAAGACUUAUUGGAUCAAUAAAACGGUUACAAUCUGAAACAAUAACAUAUUCAAGAGCAAUUGUUAGAAUUAGUCACAAUUUACAUAUCCACUGUGCUUUAGAUUUGGUUUAAGGCUGCUCCCAUUACUUUUGAUCCAUUCACAUAUGGCUUGCUGGUCUUUAUUAGAAAUACCAGUGAACAUAGUGUCUUCUUUAUUCCUAAGGCAACAAUAUAUGCAUAAUGAAGUAAAAUAGCAACCGUUUUUUCCUUCCCGUGAAGGGAACACACGUCAACAGUAUCCUGAAAUUAAACUCCUCCGUUAAUAUGCAUAUUCCUCAAAUCAAACAAGUUAACUUCAUGAGUGACAUCCAAAGAGUCAUUAACAAAAAUUAUAUUAAAAUUACAACUGCCCAGAAUGCGCUCUCAUUACUAACAAAAGCAAUUAAGUGUUUAAUAACGCACAAAAGCCUCAACAUAUCACCAGUGGCUGUUAUUCACACCGAAAUAAAAAAGGUGAAAUGUAUACCAAUACAUUUCUUAUCGUCCCCUCAUAAAUACCUCAACACAUGAAGCCGUGAAAAGGUAAAGCAUAUGUCUGGAUAGACAGUGGGUGUGUCGGGAGGUGUAUCACAGGAGUUUUGUCUUGUUUAGACUAAUAUCUGGGCAUAUUAGAAGGCUAUUCUAUUAAGCUUUGAGUGAUUUAUAACUCACCAAAACGUCGUGGAAAUACACUGUAUUUUUAAUCUUGUUUAUGUCCCAGCUGACUGAGAUUACGCAAGGCUGAGCCAGUGCUGAUUUCUUUGUCACUUUUCCGUUUGCACGUGAGGAAAGUGUUUUGGAAAAUAAACGUGUUACAUUUCUUCCAACAUCUAAACACAUAUAUCAUCUAGGUGUAGGAGAAUAUUGAAAUCUUGGCUUUCCCGACACGUGCAAGGGGAUAUAUUGAAGUUGACUUCUUGUUUCUAUUAAAAUGAGAUAUACCUAAAACUCAUUUUGAUGCUGGGCUUUAAAUUAUUUGAAAUCUGCUCAGUGUCUUGAAUUCUUCAUUUCUAGCACAGGUUAUGGUUGUUUUAUUUGUUUAAUCAAAUGUAUUUAUCCAGGGACAUCAAUUUCAUGGAUAUCAUACAGGAAAAAAGUACAGGAAAAAAAUGUCAUUUUUACAAAUUAAAAAUCAGACAAUCACUCUGGGACCUUAUUUGGUCUGAUACAAAAAGUUAUUAGGGCGCAUUAAAAUCCAGCUAAACAUUGAGAGAAAGUAAGAUAAAAAACCAAGCAAAAGAAAACCGAACACCAACAGUAUAUCAGCUGUUAUAAACAGUGCAGUGCAACCUUCCAAAGUAAAGUAUAAACAGGACCACACUUGACAGAAAAUGUAUCUUUCUAAAAAGUGUGUGUUUGGGGAAGGUAAGGGAAGGAGACAUAAAAACAGCACAUUUGCUUUACAUUAAAAUGAUCAUGUUAAUGGGGCAUGUUUACAACUGUUAAAACCAUUGUUUGUGGUGAGGGUGGGUUGAGGGGUGGGGGGUUGGGUUGAGGGUGGGGGGUU
rnacentral:lncRNA from 1 species